rnacentral:misc_RNA from 1 species
AAGUCGUAACAAGGUCUCCGUAGGUGAACCUGCGGAGGGAUCAUUACAGAGUUCAUGCCCUAACCGGGGUUAAAUCCUACCCACCCCUAUGUUUAUUAUUACUUUGUUGCUUUGGCGGGCCGCAGGCUCACGCCCCGGUACCGGCUCACGCUGGUAAGCGCCCGCCAGAGAACCCCAAACCCUGAAUGUUUAGUGUCGUCUGAGUACUAUAUAAUAGUUAAAA